rnacentral:tRNA from 1 species
GCGCACUUUGCCGAACUUGAAAGCCUCGAAAAACCCGCCCUCUCACGGCGGGAACAGGGGUUCGAUUCCCCUUGGGCGUACCA